rnacentral:rRNA from 1 species
CCUACGGGACGCAGCAGUGAGGAAUAUUGGUCAAUGGCCGCAGGGCUGAACCAGCCAAGUCGCGUGAGGGAUGACGGUCCUAUGGAUUGUAAACCUCUUUUGUCAGGGAGCAACGGGCGCCACGUGUGGCGCUCUGCGAGUACCUGCAGAAAAAGCAUCGGCUAACUACUUGCCAGCAGCCGCGGUAAUACGGAGGAUGCGAGCGUUAUCCGGCUUUAUUGGGUUUAAAGGGUGCGCAGCCGGAAUGUCAAGUCAGCGGUAA